GACGAGCGCUGGCGGCGUGCUUAACACAUGCAAGUCGAACGGAAAGGCCCUGCUUUUGUGGGGUGCUCGAGUGGCGAACGGGUGAGUAACACGUGAGUAACCUGCCCUUGACUUUGGGAUAACUUCAGGGAACUGGGGCUAAUACCGGAUAGGAGCUCCUGCUGCAUGGUGGGGGUUGGAAAGUUUCGGCGGUUGGGGAUGGACUCGCGGCUUAUCAGCUUGUUGGUGGGGUAGUGGCUUACCAAGGCUUUGACGGGUAGCCGGCCUGAGAGGGUGACCGGCCACAUUGGGACUGAGAUACGGCCCAGACUCCUACGGGAGGCAGCAGUGGGGAAUAUUGCACAAUGGGCGGAAGCCUGAUGCAGCAACGCCGCGUGCGGGAUGACGGCCUUCGGGUUGUAAACCGCUUUCGCCUGUGACGAAGCGUGAGUGACGGUAAUGGGUAAAGAAGCACCGGCUAACUACGUG
rnacentral:rRNA from 1 species